UCCUGGUUAUCUCAGUUGGUAGACCGCUCCACUGGAAAUGGAUAGGUCCUUGGUUCGAUACCAGGACCAGGUU
rnacentral:tRNA from 1 species